GUAAUUCAGCCCUUCACGCCCGCAGGCAGAGCCAUCAUCACUCACCGCGCCUCACGUCCUUUCUCCUCCCAUCACGCCUCCCGAUAUCCUCCGCCAAGGGCAGAUCCCGGCCAGCUCCGGCGAGUCCUCGCGCUGCUCAACACCGCCCCGGCACCACAUCCUCGUCCUCCACCGAUUCCAUGCCGCGGAUUUACCCCAUCUUGUUGGCGCCGCCGGACCCCUUCAAUGUGGCUCCAGGCCAGGCGACGAACCCGUGGCGGCGCGGUUGGCUUUCUCGCCGGUGCGCGCGUGCAUCGGUUGGUUCGUGCUCGGCGCUCCGUCGAGAUCGCCAGACCGCGUCGCGCGCGUGGCCGAUGCAGUUGGGUGUGCGCUCAUGCCACCGUUUGUCCGCAGUCACCGGGAGAUGCCUGAAAUUCAUGUGUGGCAACAACACAUCUCGUUUUUAGUUUGUAGUUUUUUUGCAGGAAGACCCAAGACCAAUGCAUCUCCUCUGUGGAGGGGAUAGAGGCUUGUCCGUCGGCAUUUCCGGCGCGGCUCCCCGGUUGACAUGGACUGCUUCGCGGCUUUCCUGUUGCCUGUGCCGCCCGCCACGUGAGGCCACCGUAUGUCUGCAGUCACAGGGACUGAAAUUCAUCUCGUCUUGUUGGCGCCGCCGAACCCUGCAACGUGGCUCCAGGCCCAGAUCCUUCAGCGACGAACCUGUGGCGGCGCGGGUGGAUUUAUAGCCGGUGCACGCGUGCAUCGGUUGGUUAGUUCGCGGCACUCCGUCGAGCUCGCCAGACCGUGUCGCGUGUGUUGCCGAUGCAGAUGGGAGGACGCUGCAUGCCGGACACCAGGACGGGACGGCGGCUACGCGAGCCAUGGAGGGCUUCUCAUGCCGCCUUCCUCCACGCGCUGCAAGACCCAAGACCCAGGUGUCUCCUCUGAGGAGGGGACAUAGGCUUGUCCGUCGAUAUUGCCGGCGCGACUCCCCGGUUGGCAUGGACUGCUUCGUGGCUUUAUCAUGGCCCGCGUCGCUGGCCAUGUGAGGCCACCGUCUGUCUGCAGCCAUUGGAGUGUCUCGGAGCAAGGCGCCUCGCCAUAUUGGAAGAGGGCUUAGUGUGUGAACGUGAUGAAUGUCACACCCUUGCAGCCGUUGGAGUGGACGGUGGACUGUCUCGGAGGAGGGCGACUAGCCAGAUUGGCAGCGGGUACAUCUCGCAGGUGAUGACCAGGAAGAGGGCUCGGUGCGUGAACGUGAGGAAUGGUGCACCCUUGCAGAUGUUGUCAAUGGAGUAAGUUGGAUUAUAUUUACCUGUGAAGAUAUAUUGGUUGUGCCCUUCUUCGAUUGGUGUCAGGUUUUCCCUAGAAUCACAUCUUUGAUGCGAGAUCUGGUAGAUAUGAAGAAUUUGGUUGAGUUGCAUCGAUUGAGAUGGUAGCACACAGGGAGACUGCAUUUGACCUGGCCAAGUUC